rnacentral:rRNA from 1 species
AUACGGAGGGGGCAAGCGUUGUUCGGAAUUACUGGGCGUAAAGAGUACGUAGGCGGAUCGUUAAGUUAGAGGUGAAAUCCCAGGGCUCAACCCUGGAACUGCCUUUAAUACUGGCGAUCUAGAGAUCGGGAGAGGUGAGUGGAAUUUCCAGUGUAGCGGUGAAAUUCGUAGAUAUUGGAAAGAACACCAGUGGCGAAGGCGGCUCACUGGCUCGAUACUGACGCUGAGGUACGAAAGCGUGGGGAGCAAACAGGAUUAGAAACCCUAGUAGUCC